rnacentral:rRNA from 1 species
UGCAGUCGAGCGCACCUUCGGGUGAGCGGCGGACGGGUUAGUAACGCGUGGGAACAUACCCUUUGGUACGGAAUAGCCUCUGGAAACGGAGAGUAAUACCGUAUGAGCCCUUCGGGGGAAAGAUUUAUCGCCAAAGGAUUGGCCCGCGUUAGAUUAGGUAGUUGGUGGGGUAAUGGCCUACCAAGCCUACGAUCUAUAGCUGGUUUUAGAGGAUGAUCAGCAACACUGGGACUGAGACACGGCCCAGACUCCUACGGGAGGCAGCAGUGGGGAAUCUUGGACAAUGGGGGCAACCCUGAUCCAGCCAUGCCGCGUGAGUGAUGAAGGCCUUAGGGUCGUAAAGCUCUUUCGCCUGUGAAGAUAAUGACGGUAGCAGGUAAAGAAACCCCGGCUAACUCCGUGCCAGCAGCCGCGGUAAUACGGAGGGGGUUAGCGUUGUUCGGAAUUACUGGGCGUAAAGCGCACGUAGGCGGACUGGAAAGUUGGGGGUGAAAUCCCAGGGCUCAACCCUGGAACUGCCUCCAAAACUAUCAGUCUAGAGUUCGAGAGAGGUGAGUGGAAUUCCGAGUGUAGAGGUGAAAUUCGUAGAUAUUCGGAGGAACACCAGUGGCGAAGGCGGCUCACUGGCUCGAUACUGACGCUGAGGUGCGAAAGUGUGGGGAGCAAACAGGAUUAGAUACCCUGGUAGUCCACACCGUAAACGAUGAAUGCCAGUCGUCGGGUAGCAUGCUAUUCGGUGACACACCUAACG